rnacentral:rRNA from 1 species
UACAGAGGGUGCAAGCGUUGUUCGGAAUUACUGGGCAUAAAGAGCACGUAGGCGGCUCAUCAAGUCACGCGUGGAAUCCCCCGGCUCAACCGGGGAACUGCGCCUGAUACUGGUGGGCUAGAGGACGGUAGGGGUGAGUGGAACUCUAGGUGGAGCGGUGAAAUGCGUAGAUAUCUAGAGGAACACCGGUGGCGAAAGCGGCUCACUGGACCGUAACUGACGCUGAGGUGCGAAAGCUAGGGUAGCAAACGGG